AUUGAACGCUAGCGGGAUGCCUUACACAUGCAAGUCGAACGGAGUGGCGAACGGGUGAGUAAUGUAUAGGAACGUGCCCAGUAGCGGGGGAUAACUACGCGAAAGCGUAGCUAAUACCGCAUACUAUUGGAGCGGCCGAUAUCGGAUUAGCGAGUUGGUGGGGUAACGGCUCACCACGGCGACGAUCCGUAGCUGGGUUGAGAGGACGACCAGCCACACGGGGACUGAUACACGGCCCCUACUCCUACGGGAGGCAGCAGGGGGGAAUUGUGGACAAUGGGGGAAACCCUGAUCCAGCCAUCACGCGUGGGCGAUGAAGGCCUUCGGGUUGUAAAGCACUUUUGGCAGGAAAGCGGUACCUGCAGAAUAAGCACCGGCUAACUACGUGCCAGCAGCCGCGGUAAUUC
rnacentral:rRNA from 1 species